GUCCAGACUCCUACGGGAGGCAGCAGUGGGGAAUAUUGCACAAUGGGGGGAACCCUGAUGCAGCAACGCCGCGUGGGUGAAGAAGUAUUUCGGUAUGUAAAGCCCUCUCAGCAGGGAAGAAGAUGACGGUACCUGACUAAGAAGCCCCGGCUAAAUACGUGCCAGCAGCCGCGGUAAUACGUAUGGGGCAAGCGUUAUCCGGAUUUACUGGGUGUAAAGGGAGCGCAGGCGGCGCGGCAAGUCAGAUGUGAAAGCCCGGGGCUCAACCCCGGGACUGCAUUUGAAACUGCCGUGCUGGAGUGUCGGAGAGGCAAGUGGAAUUCCUAGUGUAGCGGUGAAAUGCGUAGAUAUUAGGAGGAACACCAGUGGCGAAGGCGGCUUACUGGACUGUAACUGACACUGAGGCACGAAAGCGUGGGGAGCAAACAGGAUUAGAUACCCCAGUA
rnacentral:rRNA from 1 species